rnacentral:rRNA from 1 species
CAUCCCGACUUACCAAACCGAUGCAAACUCCGAAUACCAAUGAGUACUAUCCGGGAGACAGACUGCGGGUGCUAACGUCCGUAGUCAAGAGGAAAACAAUCCAGACCGCCAGCUAAGGCCCCAAAAUCAUAGUUAAGUGGGAAACGAUGUGGGAAGGCAUAGACAGCUAGGAGGUUGGCUUAGAAGCAGCCACCCUUUAAAGAAAGCGUAAUAGCUCACUAGUCGAGUCGGCCUGCGCGGAAGAUGUAACGGGGCUAAAACUAUGUGCCGAAGCUGCGGAUGUAUACUUAGUAUACGUGGUAGGGGAGCGUUCUGUAAGCCGAUGAAGGUGUAUUGAGAAGUAUGCUGGAGGUAUCAGAAGUGCGAAUGCUGACGUGAGUAACGACAAAACGGGUGAAAAACCCGUUCGCUGAAAGACCAAGGGUUCCAGUCCAACGUUAAUCGGGGCUGGGUGAGUCGACCCCUAAGGCGAGGCCGAGAGGCGUAGUCGAUGGGAAAUUGGUUAAUAUUCCAAUACUUCUGUGUAAUGCGAUGAGAGGACGGAGAAGGUUAAGUCAGCCUGGCGUUGGUUGUCCAGGUGGAAGACAGUAGGCAUGCAUCUUAGGCAAAUCCGGGGUGCUCUAUGCUGAGAGUCGAUAGCAAGCUGUACUUGUACAGUGAAGUGGCUGAUACCAUGCUUCCAGGAAAAGUCUCUAAGCUUCAGUUACACAGGAAUCGUACCCGAAACCGACACAGGUGGUCAGGUCGAGUAGACCAAAGCGCUUGAGAGAACUCUGCUGAAGGAACUAGGCAAAAUGGUACCGUAACUUCGGGAGAAGGUACGCUGCUGACGGUGAUGGGACUUGCUCCCUGAGCGGUUGGCAGCCGCAGAAACCAGGCCGCUGCAACUGUUUAUUAAAAACAUAGCACUCUGCAAACACGAAAGUGGACGUAUAGGGUGUGAUGCCUGCCCGGUGCUGGAAGGUUAAUUGAUGGGGUUAGCGUAAGCGAAGCUCUUGAUCGAAGCCCCAGUAAACGGCGGCCGUAACUAUAACGGUCCUAAGGUAGCGAAAUUCCUUGUCGGGUAAGUUCCGACCUGCACGAAUGGCAUAAUGAUGGCGGCGCUGUCUCCAGCAGAGGCUCAGUGAAAUCGAAAUCGCUGUGAAGAUGCAGUGUACCCGCGGCUAGACGGAAAGACCCCGUGAACCUUUACUGCAGCUUGACAUUGAACUUUGACCUUACUUGUGUAGGAUAGGUGGGAGGCUUUGAAGUUGGAACGCUAGUUCCAAUGGAGCCGUCCUUGAAAUACCACCCUGGUAAUGUUGAGGUUCUAACUCUGCCCCGUAAUCCGGGGCGAGGACCAUGUCUGGUGGGUAGUUUGACUGGGGCGGUCUCCUCCUAAAGAGUAACGGAGGAGUACGAAGGUGCGCUCAGCGUGGUCGGAAAUCACGCGUAGAGUAUAAAGGCAAAAGCGCGCUUAACUGCGAGACCCACAAGUCGAGCAGGUACGAAAGUAGGUCUUAGUGAUCCGGUGGUUCU